rnacentral:lncRNA from 1 species
CUUAUAGUUCUGGUGGGUAGAAGACCCAAAGAGCUUGGUGUCAGCAUCUUGAAGUGGGACCUCAGACUGUGUCCCAGGGCAGAGAGCCAGCCAGCUCACGCAGUGACUUCAGCUAUAACGACCCACUGUCCUGAGGACUAACGGAGGCACACCAGAUCUGACCCACUCAUGAGAAAGCAGUGAUCCGUUUAUGAGAGAUACACCUGACAGUCCAAGGAGCUGGAAUGCACAUCAAACAAAGCAGGCAGAAGCGGGCGUUUCAUCAAGCCAAACCAGCACCGCAAGCCUCCCACUGCCGCCGUGGGGAGUUUCCGAAGACCAGAGAAGCACGGGCCAGUUAGAGGCUGCCAAAUUCAAGACAGCCGGUUCCCUCGGAGGCUGCCAGCCACUCUUCCUGCCAACAAGACCUGGAAACGGCCUUACCACACAGCUCCUGGGUUCCCCUUACUUUUUCCACUGCGAAUGUAGCCUGAUUAGAGCGAGCGUGCAGAAGCACUAGAGGCGUACAUUCAGAAAACAUAUUUUGAACAAACUUUAUCUUUCUGAUCUUCAUUUUCUUGUUGUGAGAACGGGGAGGCAGACUAGAUCAGAGCUUCUCAUCCCUGGGUGCUCACAAAACCAUCCGGGAGCUUUAAAAAUGCAUACUUCUGGGCCCUUUACCGACCAAUUAAACCAGAACCUCUAAGUAUUUUUCAAAAACUCCCUAGAUGUUUCUAAUAGAUGCUGCUAGAUGCUGCCUGUGGUUAUUUCUACAUCAAACAUUUAUUUGUGAUCCUUCAUAUAAAGUGCAAC